rnacentral:rRNA from 1 species
AUUGAACGCUGGCGGCAGGCCUAACACAUGCAAGUCGAACGGUAACAGGAAGCAGCUUGCUGCUUUGCUGACGAGUGGCGGACGGGUGAGUAAUGUCUGGGAAACUGCCCGAUGGAGGGGGAUAACUACUGGAAACGGUAGCUAAUACCGCAUAACGUCGCAAGACCAAAGAGGGGGACCUUAGGGCCUCUUGCCAUCGGAUGUGCCCAGAUGGGAUUAGCUAGUAGGUGGGGUAACGGCUCACCUAGGCGACGAUCCCUAGCUGGUCUGAGAGGAUGACCAGCCACACUGGAACUGAGACACGGUCCAGACUCCUACGGGAGGCAGCAGUGGGGAAUAUUGCACAAUGGGCGCAGGCCUGAUGCAGCCAUGCCGCGUGUAUGAAGAAGGCCUUCGGGUUGUAAAGUACUUUCAGCGGGGAGGAAGGGAGUAAAGUUAAUACCUUUGCUCAUUGACGUUACCCGCAGAAGAAGCACCGGCUAACUCCGUG